UACGGGGGGAGCAAGCGUUGUUCGGAUUUACUGGGCGUAAAGGGCGCGUAGGCGGCCACCGCAAGUCAGUUGUGAAAUCUCUGGGCUUAACCCAGAAAGGUCAACUGAUACUGCGGGGCUAGAGUGCAGAAGGGGCAACUGGAAUUCUCGGUGUAGCGGUGAAAUGCGUAGAUAUCGAGAGGAACACCGGCGGCGAAGGCGGGUUGCUGGGCUGACACUGACGCUGAUGCGCGAAAGCUAGGGGAGCGAACGGG
rnacentral:rRNA from 1 species